CCUACGGGGGGCAGCAGUGGGGAAUAUUGCACCAUGGGGGAAACCCUGAUGCAGCGACGCCGCGUGAGUGAAGAAGUCAUUCGUUAUGGAAAGCCCCAUCAGCAGGGAAGAAAAUGACGGUACCUGAGUAAGAAGCCCCGGCUAACUCCGUGCCAGCAGCCGCGGUAAUACGUAGGGGGCAAGCGUUAUCCGGAUUUACUGGGUGUAAAGGGAGCGUAGACGGCAGGGCAAGUCUGGAGUGAAAUGCGGGGGCUCAACCCCCGGACUGCUCUGGAAACUGGACGGCUGGAGUGCAGGAGAGGUAGGUGGAAGUCCUGGUGUAGCGGUGAAAUGCGUAGAUAUUAGGAGGAACACCGGUGGCGAAGGCGGCUUACUGGACUGUAACUGACGUUGAGGCUCGAAAGCGUGGGGAGCAAACAGGAUUAGAUACCCCGGUAGUC
rnacentral:rRNA from 1 species